CUAUUAUCAGUGUUACACUUAAGAAUCCUUUGCCUAAUCCAAGGUCACAAAUAUUUCUUCUGUGUUUUCUCCUAGGAGUUUACAUUCUAAUUUUAGCUCUUGGGUUUUGGUUUAUUGACCAUUUUAAGUUAAUGUUUGUGAAUGCUGUGUCUGGCCCUUCAUUCCUUUUUUGGGUACAGGGGUAUCUAACUGUCCCAGCACCAUCUUUAAAAUAAAAUAUUUAUUUUUAAUUGGAAGAUCAUUGCUUUACGGGGCUGUGUUGGAUUCUGUGAGCCCACAGUGAAUCAGCUGCCCGUGUCCGUGUGCCCCCAGGCUGUUACUGCGCCCUGGGCAGGAGCUGCCGGAGACCCUGUGUCCUGCCUGGACCCCCAUCUGUCUGUGUGUCCUGGAAUGAGGAGGUGAUGCCCAUGACCCUCACGGGGAGGAAUCCACCCACCUGGGCUCCGCAGACGGUGCAGCUCACCGGCGGGCCCUGAGCUGAAGGAUCGGCUGGACCGAUGGGGAAGCAGGCCGAGGCCCCGGCCGGACACGGGCGGACGGAGUGAGGCUGCCAGCCGUGAGGGAGGCGCUCCCCUCGCAGCACGUGGGCCGCGUGGCCAUGUGCCUGGGACGGUCCUGAGCAGACGGGCGUCCUCCCCUCCCGCGCACCCCACCGCCCAGGCCCCCACCCCGCGCCCUGGGCAGGCUGAGCGGGCA
rnacentral:lncRNA from 1 species